rnacentral:rRNA from 1 species
GAUGAACGCUGGCGGCGUGCCUAAUACAUGCCAGUCGAGCGAACAGACGAGGAGCUUGCUCCUCUGACGUUAGCGGCGGACGGGUGAGUAACACGUGGAUAACCUACCUAUAAGACUGGGAUAACUUCGGGAAACCGGAGCUAAUACCGGAUAAUAUAUUGAACUGCAUGGUUCAAUAGUGAAAGACGGUUUUGCUGUCACUUAUAGAUGGAUCCGCGCCGCAUUAGCUAGUUGGUAAGGUAACGGCUUACCAAGGCAACGAUGCGUAGCCGACCUGAGAGGGUGAUCGGCCACACUGGAACUGAGACACGGUCCAGACUCCUACGGGAGGCAGCAGUAGGGAAUCUUCCGCAAUGGGCGAAAGCCUGACGGAGCAACGCCGCGUGAAUGAUGAAGGUCUUCGGAUCGUAAAACUCUGUUAUUAGGGAAGAACAAAUGUGUAAGUAACUAUGCACGUCUUGACGGUACCUAAUCAGAAAGCCACGGCUAACUACGUG